AAGUUGAACUUAAUUAACAAGUAUUGGUGAUAAGCCACACUCACCAAUGGAAGACCAAUUAGCAGAAGAGCAAGAGACUAGCCGACUAAGUAGCUUUCGGCCUUCCUCUUCCGAUCUUUCUUUGUUUUCCUUGAAGACUGUCCAACAUUGCUUCCGCUUCUAUAAAGAGGGCAUAAGCCGCAUUUUUUUAUUGUCACAGCUGAUUGGUACUGCACUAGUCUGCGACCUGGAGGAUGCAACGGAUUGGGCUGGUUAACUGUUAAUUGGGGUUAACUGGAGUUUAGGUCAUCUGACUCAAUUUUUUCCCAAUUGGUCGCCGCUGAAACCUUGUCACUGCCAUAGCCAAACUGUCAAAGGCUCUACCACCAUCGUCGAAGGUUUUCCGCAGUCGAAGGCUCAUCACCCCCACAAGGUUUUUCCGCUCUCUAACUUUGCCGCCGAACUAUUGCAGGCUCUACCAUCAUUUCACUCUAAGGUGGUGAUGCAUUGGAGUCUCUGGUGCUGCAUUCUUUUGGUAUUGGAUGAAGUUGAUGAAUUCUUGUCUUUCAAUUCCCAGUAAGACAUGCAUCGGAUAUUGAAGCAUGUAUGGAGGAGAUCAAGUGCAGAGCUCAAAUUCAUUAUGCACAUUCUUACUUUAGAUUUAGCUUUCGCAUUGUUUAGAGUGUUUCUAAUUGCCAAUGAUAACGGUUAAUUCUAAUUGUAGUUAGUAGUGUAUGGUUUGUAUUGUAGAAGUGUCCAAUACUUUAACAGCAGUGCCAAAACAUUCCAUUAGUUUGAGUUAAAACAGUUUACUAAACUAAACUAUAGUUAACUAAAAAAAUACUUAGCUCAGUUCAAUUAACUUAACU